CCCUCCGCCUCGCCGGCGUUGGCCCACCCUUUGGUAGCUCACCCCGCGAGGCUGGACAGCUCCCGGAACCCCGGAACCGGGAUCUAUUUCGGGGGCUCGGCUGCGUGGCGCCCAGGACUCUCCAGGGUCUCCCAGGAUCGCUCCCUGGAUUCGAGUCGCGCUCUCUCUCUUUCGGGAACACCCGCUGAUGUCAGCCCACCAGCCAAAACCAGGGAGGAGAAGCGGGAGCCGGCCCUCCAGAGUCGGGAAAAGGUCUGCGGAGUGGGGUAGAGGGGAAAACAAAGUCCAAAUACCCUCCCUUCAGAUACCUCCUGGGGCCUAGACCCCACAAACCUGUUGGGGGGGGGACAAAAUACGAUGGCUACGUUCCCAGGAAGAAGGUGCCACAGUUCUUCAGGACCACGGUUGGGAGAAAGAAGGGAGGGGUUUUGGAACCUUCAGUGUGCCACUUCAUGUGCCUGUCUUCAUCUCAGGAUCUCAAGCUCUUGGAUCAUGGGCACAGAUAACCUGUUGUCCUCCUCUAUGGUCAAGAGGCUGCUUUUGCAAGGAAUCCAG